CUAGCAAAAACAUCGAACAAUUCGCCGUAUCUUUAAUACAAUCUUUUUUAAAAAUAAAUUAUCGCGCAAUAAUGGUUAACAGUUAGGGGUGGAAAACGUGAGCCGCGAAGAAACGCGGGAAGACGCAUUAUCUAUUGUAACUUUCAAAAUGCGUUUUCAUUUAAUACUUUGCACGGACAAAACUAUAUGUGACAGCUGGUUAUUUAUAAAAUUAGAAAAAAAAGAAAUCACCAAAAAAAAAAUUAAUGUGAAUCCAAGACCACUAGGUUAGAAAAUGCAAUUGCGCCAGCGUGUUUAAGGACUAUAUACACAUGUUCGGUUAGUAUUAGUCCCGUCCGUUCAGUGUCUGCGUCGUUUGAUUUAGACACUUACGAUCCAGUUUCGUAUUG